rnacentral:misc_RNA from 1 species
UCCCCCGUGAGGGGGCAGUCUCGCCUGACAUAUAAAACAGGCAACGAGGGUUGCGUUCGUUACCCCACUGAAGGGAACAACUCAAGCCACGAACUGACGACGACCAUGCAUCACCUGCGGAACUGUCUUGCGAGGGCUAAAGUUUCCUAAAGCUUGCAGUUCCGUUUCAAACCCUGGUGAGGUUCUUCGUUUGUCAUCGAAUUGAGCCGCAUGAUCCACCGCUUGUGCAAGUCCCCGUCUAUUCCUUUGAGUUUUAAUCUUGCGAUCGUACUACCCAGGCGCACAACUUAACGCGUUAGCUUCGCCACAAAGAGGGUCGAUACUCCUUAUAGCCAGUUGUGAUCGUUUAGGGCGUGGACUA